rnacentral:rRNA from 1 species
GAUGAACGCUGGCGGCGUGCCUAAUACAUGCAAGUCGAGCGAACAGACGAGGAGCUUGCUCCUCUGACGUUAGCGGCGGACGGGUGAGUAACACGUGGAUAACCUACCUAUAAGACUGGGAUAACUUCGGGAAACCGGAGCUAAUACCGGAUAAUAUAUUGAACCGCAUGGUUCAAUAGUGAAAGACGGUUUUGCUGUCACUUAUAGAUGGAUCCGCGCCGCAUUAGCUAGUUGGUAAGGUAACGGCUUACCAAGGCAACGAUGCGUAGCCGACCUGAGAGGGUGAUCGGCCACACUGGAACUGAGACACGGUCCAGACUCCUACGGGAGGCAGCAGUAGGGAAUCUUCCGCAAUGGGCGAAAGCCUGACGGAGCAACGCCGCGUGAGUGAUGAAGGUCUUCGGAUCGUAAAACUCUGUUAUUAGGGAAGAACAAAUGUGUAAGUAACUAUUCACGUCUUGAUGGUACCUAAUCAGAAAGCCACGGCUAACUACGUG